rnacentral:piRNA from 1 species
UGGUGAGGGACACAAGUUGGACCAGAAGC